CAUGCCAGAGACUGACGCCAAAGCUGUCAGGAGGCUCCAUUGUGCAGAUCUUGGUGCUGUUAUCAGCGCCUCCCACGCGCUGGAAGUGAGAUAUGUG